rnacentral:rRNA from 1 species
UACGUAGGGUGCGAGCGUUGCCCGGAUUUAUUUGGCGUAAAGGGCGCGUAGGCGGCUCUGCACGUCCGUUGUGAAAUCGCUCGGCUCAACUGGGCGGGGUCAGCGGAUACGGCGUGGCUGGAGCAAGCUAGGGGGCAAUGGAAUUCCCGGUGUAGUGGUGGAAUGCGUAGAUAUCGGGAGGAACACCAGUGGCGAAGGCGGUUGCCUGGAGCUUUGCUGACGCUGAUGCGCGAAAGCGUGGGGAGCGAUCCGG